GCCAGCAGCCAUAUCAACUCACAACUGGCAACUGGCAACCUACUAAAGCUAAGCAGAUUUGAGCCUGGUCAGUACCUGGAUGUGAGACCUCCUGGGAAAAACUAAGGUUGCUGCUAGAA
rnacentral:rRNA from 1 species